GGCAAUUACAUGUGCGUGGCAACAAAUGAUGCUGGGGUGGUGGAAAGAAGUGUCACUCUCACCUUGCAGAGUGCACCCUCCAUCAUUGUGGAGCCGGUGGAGACAGUCGUGGAUGCUGGAACCACAUCUGUGCUCAACUGUCAGGCAGAAGGUGAGCCUAGCCAGAUGAUAGAGUGGUCCCGGCAGGGACGCCCCCUACUGGGCAACGACCGCUUCUCCACCUUGUCCAAUGGUUCCCUCAGGAUCAGUAGUGCCCAGAAAGGGGACACAGCUGAAUAUGAAUUUGUGGCCAGAAACUUGCUUGGAUCAGUGCUGGUCAGGGUCACUCUUACUGUACGAGGUGAGCUGGACAUUGUGCACUUUUUUUAUUGGUCCAUGUUUUUCAGUUGGUAAAAUCAGUGAUGCGUUAAAGACUUUAUGUGGUCUUCAAAAUCUUUGUAUCAAAAAAAAGAGAAAACAAAUACAUGUACAGAUGUACCACCUGCCAGAUAACAAAGUUCAUUACCUUGUUUUACAGUCCAUGGAGGAUACUCAGAGUGGGCAGAGUGGGCUCCUUGCAGUGUAUCCUGUGGUGCUGGUGCUCAGAAUAGGCUGAAGCAGUGCAACAAUCCUCUACCUGCCAGUGGAGGCCGACACUGUGCAGGAUCAGACUUAGAGACACGCCGUUGUCAAGGGAAACCCUGUCCAGUGGAUGGUAACUGGUCAGAGUGGUCUCUCUGGGAGGAGUGUUCACGUACCUGUGGUCAGGGCAACAGAACCAGAGUCCGAACCUGCAGUA